rnacentral:rRNA from 1 species
UACGUAGGUGGCAAGCGUUGUCCGGAUUUACUGGGCGUAAAGAGCGCGCGGGCGGUCGUCCAAGUCGAAUCUGAAAGCCCCCGGCUCAACUGGGGAGGGUCAUUCGAUACUGUUCGACUCGAAGGCAGGAGAGGGAAGUGGAAUUCCGGGUGUAGUGGUGAAAUGCGUAGAUAUCCGGAGGAACACCAGUGGCGAAGGCGACUUUCUGGCCUGUUCUUGACGCUGAGGCGCGAAAGCUAGGGGAGCAAACGGG